rnacentral:pre_miRNA from 1 species
UUUUGCUGUGUCGGGUGGAUCACGAUGCAAAUUUUGAUAAGUUUAAUAGGAGAAAAAAUUGCACGGUAUCCAUCUGUAAACCGCAAGAC